AGAGUUUGAUCAUGGCUCAGGACGAACGCUGGCGGCGUGCUUAACACAUGCAAGUCGAGCGGUAAGGCCCUUCGGGGUACACGAGCGGCGAACGGGUGAGUAACACGUGGGUGACCUGCCCCCUACUCUGGGAUAAGCCUGGGAAACUGGGUCUAAUACCGGAUAUGACUACAUGUCGCAUGGUGUGUGGUGGAAAGUUUUUCGGUGGGGGAUGGGCCCGCGGCCUAUCAGCUUGUUGGUGGGGUGAUGGCCUACCAAGGCGACGACGGGUAGCCGGCCUGAGAGGGCGACCGGCCACACUGGGACUGAGACACGGCCCAGACUCCUACGGGAGGCAGCAGUGGGGAAUAUUGCGCAAUGGGCGGAAGCCUGACGCAGCGACGCCGCGUGGGGGAUGACGGCCUUCGGGUUGUAAACCUCUUUCGGCCCCGACGAAGCGUGAGUGACGGUAGGGGUAGAAGAAGCACCGGCCAACUACGUGCCAGCAGCCGCGGUAAUACGUAGGGUGCGAGCGUUGUCCGGAAUUAUUGGGCGUAAAGAGCUCGUAGGCGGUCUGUCGCGUCGGUCGUGAAAACUUGGGGCUUAACCCUGAGCUUGCGGUCGAUACGGGCAUGACUGGAGUUCGGCAGGGGAGACUGGAAUUCCUGGUGUAGCGGUGAAAUGCGCAGAUAUCAGGAGGAACACCGGUGGCGAAGGCGGGUCUCUGGGCCGAUACUGACGCUGAGGAGCGAAAGCGUGGGGAGCGAACAGGAUUAGAUACCCCAGUAGUCC
rnacentral:rRNA from 1 species